GGGUCAGUAGGUUGGUCGUGCCACCGGUACGUACUGGUCUCACUGAUUCCUCCUUCCUGAAGAACCGUAAUGCCAUUAUUUUGGUGUUGCGGGGAAACAGGACUGUUACUUUGAAAAAAUUAGAGUGUUUAAAGCAAGCUAACGCUUGAAUACAUUAGCAUGGAGUAAUGAAAUAGGACGAUCGAUCCUAUUUUGUUGGUUUCUAGGAUUGACGUA
rnacentral:rRNA from 1 species